GAUGAAGAACGCAGCGAAAUGCGAUACGUAAUGUGAAUUGCAAAUUCAGUGAAUCAUCGAGUCUUUGAACGCACAUUGCGCCCCCUGGUAUUCCGGGGGGCAUGCCUGUCCGAGCGUCAUUGCUGCCCUCAAGCACGGCUUGUGUGUUGGGCCCCGUCCUCCGAUCCCGGGGGACGGGCCCGAAAGGCAGCGGCGGCACCGCGUCCGGUCCUCGAGCGUAUGGGGCUUUGUGACCCGCUCUGUAGGCCCGGCCGGCGCUUGCCGAUCAACCCAAAUUUUUAUCCAGGUUGACCUCGGAUCAGGUAGGGAUACCCGCUGAACUUAAGCAUAUCAAUAAGCGGAGGA
rnacentral:misc_RNA from 1 species